UACAGAGGUCUCAAGCGUUGUUCGGAUUCAUUGGGCGUAAAGAGCUCGUAGGCGGCUGUUCAAGUCGAACGUGAAAACUCGGGGCUCAACUCCGAGCCUGCGUUCGAUACUGGAUGGCUAGAGUCUGGUAGGGGGAUCUGGAAUUCCUGGUGUAGCGGUGGAAUGCGCAGAUAUCAGGAGGAACACCGGUGGCGAGGGCGACAUCCUGGACCGGUAUUGACGCUGAGGCGCGAAAGCCAGGGGAGCAAACGGG
rnacentral:rRNA from 1 species